GGUUCGGUGGUCUAGCGGUUAGAACGCUGGCCUUGUAAUCCUGGGGUCUCGGGUUCGAUUCCCGGCGGUGCCC
rnacentral:tRNA from 1 species